AUUUUCUUAUAUGCCAUGUAUUGCCAUGACUUAAAGGAGAAACAGCUGCUAGAAAGCAAGCUUAGCAGAUAAAUGGAGGGGAGAAGCUCUAGGGCUUGCUUUUUAACUUUGGUAAGCCUUUGCAUUCAGCUGCCUGCAGAAUUAAAAGCAAGUUAGUUAGCUUCAAGAUACUGCAGACUCCAAGUAAAUAUUCAGUGACGAUUUAUUUGUCUGGUCUUUAUUACAAAAAAAAAAAAAAAAAGCAGAUAUCAAAAAACAGUGAAGAUUUCACAAGUUCCCCAACCGUUUCACACAACAGAACUGUUAUAAAAUGGCGAAUGUAAAACGUGUGUCUCAGUCCUGGCCCUAACCUUCAGUGGUGAGCUGUGGUCUGGGAUGCCCGGGGCUUCCUUAAUUCCUUUUUAAUAUACUCCCCUCUAUUUUGGAAUUUCAUUUGUCCAUUUGCUAAUGCACCAUGGUACAGCAUGCAUGUCAACUGUCUGGUAACCCUUAAGACUACGUCCCUUUUCUUCUCCUGUGUAGGAUCUUUAGUUCCCAAAAUAAAAGGUUUCCUGGACUUGGCUCCAGUGUAAAUGGACCCUUAAAUUCUAGCAUAGGAAGUGCAGGAUGGACAGCUCCAUCCUCGCUGUGAUCUGCCUGCUGUUCACCCGGCCACUGACUGAUCACAGCACAUCAGAACAGGCCACGAGGUGUGAGGUUAAGGAAAAUACCUGGCUUACUGGAAUGAUGAUCGGUCAGAGGGAAGCUGCUCCUUUCUGUCCUACUCACUGCUGUAGGCUCAGAGGUUGACCAAAGGAAACAUGGUCCAGUUACCAAUGUUAGCAGCUGCCCCACUUCUCAAAUAUUUAUCUUACAUCAAAACACUGCUUGGCUAGCAAAAAGGAUUAAGACAUUGUCCUACGUCCCUCAGCACUUGCGUGGAAAGUCAGGCCGAAAUCUGCCAUAAUUAUACACAAAUACAAAUCAUCCUAAACACGUUGUAAAUGUAGCUAUGCGUGUCACUGAAAUGCUUGAGUACCAAAUAGUUCUGUUAGAAAUAAAAUUGCACCUUCAUAAUUUUCCAGAGUUUAACAAAAAAGAGAUCACGAUAUGCAUUACUUGUCAGGUACGAAAGAAGCAGCGAGAAGGCAAGCUGAGAGACAGGCGCUGCCCACGGGGCAGCAAUGGCAUUUGGUUGGGUUCUGCACCAGCAUUUCCCACACCAUGGAGAGCAAACAGCCAUUCGUUGCUGGAGUUAAACCGUCUUCCUGGCAGUCAAAACACGGACGAUAGACCCUACUCCACCAGCAGCCAGCGCCUUCUCAUGCCACUGCAGUAACACAGCACUGCUGUUGUCGGAGGGGCUCUCAAAGCCUUUGUAGAUGUACUUCAUUAGCAGAUCAACACCAUUCUUAUCCAGGGACUGGACUGCCUUCUCGAUAUCGUUGGCUUUGAAUGAGAUGAGGACCUUCAGGACAAUACUUUCUGCACGAUCCUUCACGGCUUGGUUCUUCGUGUUGAUGGGUGGGUUCUUCAGAGCCGCCUGCAGCGCGGCCAUCAUGUUCCCUUGCCUGAGGCACGAAUCCACCUCGCCCUCAUCGGGACCAGCUUGCCCGUCGCCUCCAUCCUCCUCAUCCACGAACUUGUUCUCGUCGUACUCGUCCACGUCCACCCGGCGGAAGCGGGCCGAUGACACGGUGUGCUUGGCCAUGGCCGCCCGCUCGCUGCCGCCUCCGCGCUGUGCCGCCCCGCCCGUCCCCGGGCGCAGGCGCCUACCGCCGGCCGCACUGCGCAGGCGCGCUGCG
rnacentral:lncRNA from 1 species